UUCCCAAAUUCCAGAAACCCUAACCCUAAUUUUUCCCCUUUCCCCAGCCCUGAAGCACGCAGCCCCCACCCCUUCCUUUCUAAACACAAUACACACACAAAACAGAGAAAGAAACGUAGAGAUAGAGAGGAAGAAGAGAGAGCUCAGAAUCGGAGAGGAAGGGACGGCGCUACGGCUAGGGCUCGCCGCCGUCGCAGUCGCCGUCGCGACUUGCUGUCGUCGCGGUCGCCGUCGCGCCUUGCUACCGUCGCAGUCACCGUCGCGUCUGGCUACUGUCAGGUUCGGCGUCAUCGUUCUGCCGGCAUCAAGCCUGUUCUGCCGCCUGAGAAGAAUUGCGAGGAGGAGAGAGCACACGUGAAGGGCAACGUCGUCACGAAACCAUCGCCGCCGUCGUCAUGCUCCGCUGCUGCCGUGUCUCACCAAGCAGUCACCGUCGUGCUUCCUGGUCGCCGUCGAAGAAGCUGUCGUUCGGAAGGAGGCAUGGCUGUCGCUGGAUAGAACACGAUGGUAGUGAGAGGAUGCCACCGCUGUUGACGCCGGAGCUCGACAGGGACUGCAGCACCGUGGCCGAGCUAUUGUGGUGCCGCAGCUGCUGUCGGGAAGGUCAUUGGGGUUUGUCGAGGGUACUGUUCUGGUUCUGAAGCAAUUCAUUCAUGUCACUGCUCAUCUUUGUCCUCUGUUCUGCCUCUGCUUCUAGUUUCUAGAAUCUGAGAAGACGCUACUGCCACUGCUGGAACUGUUGGUUUUGCUUCUCUGGCCUUGUUCUGGCUCUACUGUAAACCGUUACCGCCACUGGAGCUGCCCAAAAACCCUAUUGUUGCUACUCCGUUAUUUUAUUGUAAGCUAUUUGUAGUUCAAAUUCUAUUGAACUCAUUUCCAUUUCCGACUUUAUUGAAUUUGAACUCUAUUUUGUUGCCACCGUGGUUACUACUGCGAGAGUGAAGAGUGAUCAGAAAUAAUGCUGCUGCUGUUGACCGGAGGUGCUAAACUGUUGCCGCUACUACUUUGGGAUGCUAUGGCUGCUAUUAAAGUUGUUGUUGAUGAGUGCAGCAUUCCCAAUUUCUAUGGAUUUCGACUGACUGAGUGACACAGGUUUGAAGACUCCGUUUGAAGCUGCAGGCGAUUAUAGAUCUUAUUUAUGAGUUAAGUUUAUGACUUGAGUUAUUUCCAUAGAAUUUCCCUCGCCCUUGUUACUUUGGUUUUUAUUUUAUGCUGAGGGAUAGGAUUUGUAUGUGAGUUUUAUUUGAAAUCCUUUGUAUGACAGAUAUUAUUAUUAAUAAUUAUGUGAUUAUUAUUA